GCAACCCCUCAGGGACUUCCUCUCCUUCGACAGGGGCUUCUGUGGGUUCGGCACCUGCGGAGGGAAGGGCAGAACAUGUUACAGUUAGGCUGCGUGGGGAAGGAGUGGGGUCCCGCCAGGGGCUUUAAUCAGGUCAGAGCCCCAGGGGCGAAGGGGAGAAGGCCACUGGACGUUCAGCUGCGGCCCCCGGGCCCAUCCCCCACACAGGGAGCGGGGGAGUUGAGGCGGCCGGCACUCUGCGUCCCUCCCCACGCGUGUCGGCGCCCCGCGGGGAGGGAACGGUGCCCGGGGCAAGGAGCCUCUGCGCUCUAGCCAGUGCCCGUUGCUGCCUUGGCAUUUUCAGAGGGGAGGGACUGAGUCUGGGAAGGGGAAGGGGGAGGUGCGCUCCCUCCCAGGCUCCGGCUCUUUCCCUUCAUCCCGCCUGUUCUUUAGUGGAGGAACAGAACCCCACCGCGGAGGGACGUCUUGACUGUGACACCCUGGUGGCGACCGAGGCCUGAGUGUCUUAGGAUGUCUGCUUGUGUGUAUUUGGGAAGGACCAGCGUUCUUAUUUCAGUGCCCGACCAACAGAGAAAGGAUCAAUCACCUCCAGAGUCAGCCUCCAGAACAGGUGGGGGAAACAGAUGUGUGCUACCAGCCUGGCAAGCCAAAAAGUUGAGAUCUGAAAAUGUGGGUUCACCGAGCAAAGAGCCUUGUCCUCUGACUUUGGGAUAAAUCACUUCACCUCUUUGGGCCUGCUUCUUCAAAUUAAUGUGAUAU